CCUACGGGGUGCAGCAGUGGGGAAUAUUGGACAAUGGGCGAAAGCCUGAUCCAGCCAUGCCGCGUGUGUGAAGAAGGCCUUCGGGUUGUAAAGCACUUUCAGUGGGGAAGAAAUCCUUGGGGCUAAUACCCUCGAGGAAGGACAUCACCCACAGAAGAAGCACCGGCUAACUCCGUGCCAGCAGCCGCGGUAAUACGGAGGGUGCGAGCGUUAAUCGGAAUUACUGGGCGUAAAGCGCGCGUAGGCGGUCUGAUAAGCCGGUUGUGAAAGCCCCGGGCUCAACCUGGGAACGGCAUCCGGAACUGUCAGGCUAGAGUGCAGGAGAGGAAGGUAGAAUUCCCGGUGUAGCGGUGAAAUGCGUAGAGAUCGGGAGGAAUACCAGUGGCGAAGGCGGCCUUCUGGACUGACACUGACGCUGAGGUGCGAAAGCGUGGGUAGCAAACAGGAUUAGAUACCCCUGUAGUC
rnacentral:rRNA from 1 species